rnacentral:lncRNA from 1 species
UGCCACAGGGGCACCACAGUUCCAGGAGUCACUCGGAGGGCAGAGUCCCAAGGUAGGGGUCUGUGUCACUGCACCCCGUUGCCACCACUGGGGUGCUGGCCCACCUCUGGCUGUGCCACACCUUUCACUCCCUGGUUGAGCCAGUUCCCUUUCUGUCCCUUGGAUGAGUGUCACUGGCUUUAUACUCAGUGGAAGGCUGUGCUCUGCUCCUGCAGGAAGAACAGCUGUGUGAAGUUCUUCAGGGGGUGUCCCUUCUCCCCCAUUUAUCCGUAUCAGUAUUUGCUGUAUGUUGCGAGCUGUCCGCCAAUCCUGUUACCUAUUCUGUUCGCCACUGAACGCUCUUCGGGUUGGCUCCUGCCCACUACGAUAUGCCCUUCCUUGUUGGAUUUUCAUUUUCUUUGUUUCCCCCUCUGGUCUCCUUACCACAGGUGCUCCUGGCUCACCCCAGCUUCCUGCCCAGGCCUUCAGCCAGCCACUCUGCCAGCAGCCUGGUCCUUUUUACUUUGGACCUAUUUUAGAAGGUCAGAGAUAAGGCGCCACGUGAAGAGCAACCAUGAACUAGAGAGACCAUCCUGGGGUUCUCAAUCCUGCCUGGACCCUGAGGCUAAGGAGAUUGCUCAUGGAGGAGAAUCUGCCUGAGGAUGGGCUCUGUGCCCCACAUCAUGGUGCCAGGAAGAGAGGCCCCAGGGG